rnacentral:rRNA from 1 species
AUUGAACGCUGGCGGCACGCCUAACACAUGCAAGUCGAGCGGCAGCGAGACUAGUAGCAAUACUAGUUGUCGGCGAGCGGCGGACGGGUGAGUAACACGUAGGAAUCUGCCCUUAAGCGGGGGAUAACCAAGGGAAACUUUGGCUGAUACCGCAUAAUCUCGAGAGAGCAAAGCUGCCCGCAAGGGUGGCACUUGAGGAGGAGCCUGCGUCCGAUUAGCUAGUUGGUGGGGUAAUAGCCUACCAAGGCGAUGAUCGGUAACUGGUCUGAGAGGACGACCAGUCACACUGGGACUGAGACACGGCCCAGACUCCUACGGGAGGCAGCAGUGGGGAAUAUUGGACAAUGGGGGCAACCCUGAUCCAGCGAUGCCGCGUGAGUGAAGAAGGCCUUCGGGUCGUAAAGCUCUUUAGGUUGGGAAGAAGGGUAUUGGCUGAAUAAUCCAGUACUUUGACGGUACCGACAGAAUAAGCACCGGCAAACUCUGUGCCAGCCGCCGCAGUAAAAC